GGUUCUGUGGUGUAAUGGUUAGCACUUUGAAUCCAACCAAGGAUCCGAGUUCAAGUCUCGGUAGAACCU
rnacentral:tRNA from 1 species